rnacentral:rRNA from 1 species
GUUGACCUCGGAUCAGGUAGGGAUACCCGCUGAACUUAAGCAUAUCAAUAAGCGGAGGAAAAGAAACCAACAGGGAUUGCUCUAGUAACGGCGAGUGAAGCAGCAAUAGCUCAAAUUUGAAAUCUGGCGUCUUCGACGUCCGAGUUGUAAUUUGUAGAGGAUGCUUCUGAGUGGCCACCGACCUAAGUUCCUUGGAACAGGACGUCAUAGAGGGUGAGAAUCCCGUAUGCGGUCGGAAAGGCGCUC